rnacentral:rRNA from 1 species
ACGUAUGUCGCAAGCGUUAUCCGGAAUUAUUGGGCUUAAAGGGCAUCUAGGCGGUCAAUCAAGUUGAAGGUGAAAACUUAUGGCUCAACCAUAAGCUUGCCUACAAAACUGAAUGACUAGAGUACUGGAGAGGUGGGCGGAACUACACGAGUAGAGGUGAAAUUCGUAGAUAUGUGUAGGAAUGCCGAUGAUGAAGAUAGCUCACUGGACAGAAACUGACGCUGAAGUGCGAAAGCUAGGGGAGCAAACAGGAUUAGAUACCCUGGUAGUCCUAGCUGUAAACGAUGAUCACUGGGUGUGGGGAGAUAAAACUCUCUGUGCCGAAGAGAAAUCGAUAAGUGAUCCGCCUGGGGAGUACGUUCGCAAGAAUG